rnacentral:misc_RNA from 1 species
GAGAACUUGCCCUUCGGGGUAUAUCUCCCACCCUAUGUUUACAUACCUUUGUUGCUUUGGCGGGCCCGUCUCACGACCACCGGCAUUUUUGCUGGUCAGUGCCCGCCAGAGGACCCCAACUCUAAAUUUUUUGUCGUCUGAGUACUAUAUAAUAGUUAAAACUUUCAACAACGGAUCUCUUGGUUCU